AUUGAACGCUAGCGGGAUGCCUUACACAUGCAAGUCGAACGAGUGGCGGACGGGUGAGUAAUAUAUAGGCAAGUGCCCAGUAGCGGGGGAUAACUACUGGACACAGAGGCUAAUACCGCAUAGCAUCGGAGCGGCCGAGAUCGGAUUAGCUUGGUGGUGGGGUAAAGGCUCACCAAGGCAACGAUCCGUAGCUGGUUUGAGAGGACGACCAGCCACACUGGGACUGAGACACGGCCCAGACUCCUACGGGAGGCAUCAGUGGGGAAUUUUGGACAAUGGGUGAAACCCUGAUCCAGCCAUCCCGCGUGUAUGAGAAGGCCUUCGGGUUGUAAAGUACUUUUAGCAGAGAAGCGGUAUCUGCAGAAUAAGCACCGGCUAACUACGUGCCAGCAGCCGCGGUAAUAC
rnacentral:rRNA from 1 species